AGAGUUUGAUCCUGGCUCAGAAUGAACGCUGGCGGCGCGCCUAACACAUGCAAGUCGAACAAGAAAUCUUGAGCUUGCUCGAGAGAGUAAAGUGGCGCACGGGUGAGUAACGCGUGGGUAACCUGUCCUUAAAUCUGGGAUAAUCCACCGAAAGGUGGCCUAAUACCGGAUACAGUCCUGAAAACCGUGGUUUUCAGGAUGAAAGCUGACCUCUUCAUGAAAGUUGGCGUUUAAGGAGGGGCCCGCGUACCAUUAGCUUGUUGGUAGGGUAAAGGCCUACCAAGGCUACGAUGGUUAGCUGGUCUGAGAAGACGGCCAGCCACACUGGAACUGAAACACGGUCCAGACUCCUACGGGAGGCAGCAGUGAGGAAUCUUGCGCAAUGGGGGAAACCCUGACGCAGCGACGCCGCGUGAGUGAAGAAGGCCUUCGGGUCGUAAAGCUCUGUCAAGUGGGAAUAAAACUGUGCAUUUAACAAGUGCAUAGUCUGAAGGUACCACUAAAGGAAGCACCGGCUAACUCCGUGCCAGCAGCCGCGGUAAUACGGAGGGUGCAAACGUUGUUCGGAAUUAUUGGGCGUAAAGAGCGUGUAGGCGGCUGGGUUAGUCAGAUGUGAAAUCCUUCUGCUCAACAGAAGAAGUACGUCUGAAACUACCCAACUUGAGUACGAGAGAGGAAAGUGGAAUUCCCAGUGUAGAGGUGAAAUUCGUAGAUAUUGGGAGGAACACCGGUGGCGAAGGCGACUACCUGGACCGAUACUGACGCUGAGGUGCGAAAGCGUGGGGAGCAAACAGGAUUAGAUACCCUGGUAGUCCACGCCGUAAACGAUGGGUACUAGGUGGUGCGGGUAUUGACCCCUGCGCCGCCGGCGCUAACGCAUUAAGUCCCCGCCUGGGAGUACGGUCGCAAGGCUAAACUCAAAGGAAUUGACGGGGCCCGCCAAGCGGUGGAGCAUGUGUCAAUUCGAUGCAACGCGAAAACCUAACUGGUUUGACAUCCUCUGACAGUCCCUGAAAGGGAUCUUCCCGAUUUAUCGGACAGAUGACAGGUGCUGCAUGCUGCCGUCAGCUCGGUCUGGAAAUGUGGUAGUCCGCACGAGCGCAACUUGCUUAGUGCAAAUUAAGUAGCACUCUAAGAAUCUUGCCUCGGUACCGAGAAGUGGGAUAGACUCAGGUCCUAGGCCUAUACAAGGCUACACGUGCUACAGUGUGAUUGCACAA
rnacentral:rRNA from 1 species